CCUACGGGAGGCAGCAGUGGGGAAUAUUGGACAAUGGGGGCAACCCUGAUCCAGCCAUGCCGCGUGUGUGAAGAAGGCCCUCGGGUGGUAAAGCACUUUCAGUGAGGAAGAACGCCUGGUGGUUAAUACCCAUCAGGAAAGACAUCACUCACAGAAGAAGCACCGGCUAACUCCGUGCCAGCAGCCGCGGUAAUACGGAGGGUGCGAGCGUUAAUCGGAAUUACUGGGCGUAAAGCGCGCGUAGGUGGCUUGAUAAGCCGGUUGUGAAAGCCCCGGGCUCAACCUGGGAACGGCAUCCGGAACUGUCAAGCUAGAGUGCAGGCGAGGAAGGUAGAAUUCCCGGUGUAGCGGUGAAAUGCGUAGAGAUCGGGAGGAAUACCAGUGGCGAAGGCGGCCUUCUGGACUGACACUGACACUGAGGUGCGAAAGCGUGGGUAGCAAACAGGAUUAGAUACCCCUGUAGUC
rnacentral:rRNA from 1 species